GGGAGAGUGGAGGGGGCGGGGAGAUGACGGCAGCCUCUAGUGUCCCCGUCAGCCCUGGUGGCGGCUGUGUUCCUCCUCUGAAAGCCACAGCCCCUCUCUGGGGCCCCAACAGCUGCAGCUCUCUUCCAGGUCUGCUAACCGCCCCUCACCUUGCCCCCGGAGGCCGGGCUGGGAGAGCUCAGAGACGCUUCCCCCGCCCCAGCCCGGGAUGGUUCCCCACGCCUCCGCCUCCCUUCCCUUCCGGGGUGCCGGGAGCAGCUCCGCAAGAAGGAGCUGCGGCCCCAGGGGGGUGUCGAGCGUCCAGACCGAUCCCAGGCCGCCUCCCCAGGGACCGCCCGUCCGGUGAUCAGGAACAGGCGGUAGCAAUUCCACCUCUGGCGUGCGGUUUGCUCGCACCGUGGCCUGGACUCAGUCCCCACAGAGCCGCCCGCACGUGAGUAAAAUGGAAUUCCCGUCCUCAAAGACACUCCGACCGGGGCGCGGGGACAGGGAGAUACUGACAAGAAAUGUGCCCCCCGAGUCAACGAGGGAGCCCAGGAGAGAAGUGCCGUGGCAGAGACAGCGGCUCGGGGGGUUUUUGCAAAAAACGCUUCAAACAGCGGGAACGGAGAAUGGGAGGAGGGAACCGGACUCCUAGAGCGGGGAGUGGUCCGCGACCUCGCCUCGGGGUUCCUGGAUCACCUCCUGAUGCGUGAGGAAAGCUGGGUACCAAGGAGAAGUUUAGGCCUCCAGCUCCCAGGAUGAGGGGCUGAGUCAGAACCGGGCCUCUCUGACUCAGAGGUGGAACUGACCCGACACCACCCUGCCUUUCCGCAUUAAUGUGCACACACACACACACACACACACACACACACACACACACGCAGUCCUUCGUUGCGGACGCACAGAACGUUCCAGUAAGAACAGUAACACGGUAAAGGUGACUCUUGGACGUAACCAGGGGCUCAGGGAGCAGAUACUUCUGGCUCUUCCUGUGUCUUGCCCUGUGAAAGGAGCAAACUGAGCUGUGUUCCAAACUGAACCUUUUAUCCCAUUUCCUCUGCAAGGAUCUCGUGUCUGAAACCCAUUAAUAAAAAGAUUAGGAGCAAUGCUAUGGAAACUGGCAUAUUUUAAAUAAAGUAGCAUGCUAUGUAAGCCAUCAUA